GUAGGCGGUUUGUCGCGUCUGCUGUGAAAGGCCGGAGCUUAACUCCGUGUAUUGCAGUGGGUACGGGCAGACUAGAGUGCAGUAGGGGAGACUGGAAUUCCUGGUGUAGCGGUGGAAUGCGCAGAUAUCAGGAGGAACACCGAUGGCGAAGGCAGGUCUCUGGGCUGUAACUGACGCUGAGAAGCGAAAGCAUGGGGAGCGAACAGGAUUAGAUACCCUGGUAGUCCAUGCCGUAAACGUUGGGCACUAGGUGUGGGGAACAUUCCACGUUUUCCGCGCCGUAGCUAACGCAUUAAGUGCCCCGCCUGGGGAGUACGGCCGCAAGGCUAAAACUCAAAGAAAUUGACGGGGGCCCGCACAAGCGGCGGAGCAUGCGGAUUAAUUCGAUGCAACGCGAAGAACCUUACCAAGGCUUGACAUAUACUGGACCGCAUCAGAGAUGGUGUUUCCCUUCGGGGCUGGCAUACAGGUGGUGCAUGGUUGUCGUCAGCUCGUGUCGUGAGAAG
rnacentral:rRNA from 1 species